rnacentral:tRNA from 5 species
GGCCGGCUGGCCUAAUGGCUAAGGCGUCGGAUUCCUAAUCCGAAGAUUCUGGGUUCGAGUCCCAGGUUGGUCG